UGACUGCGUUACUAGUACUGUCCUUGAUGGAGUCUGCCUGCAAACGGGAUAUUCUGUCAAGGUAUAGAUAGGUAACAGCGGACAUGCUUGAAAACGAGGUGUCUGCUGUCCUUGGGAGGACUUGCCUGCAAACGGGAUGUUCUGCCAAGUGCGCUAGGAGGGCGCUGAGAAAAAUUUUAUUAUCUGUUCUUAACAAGAGCAGAGCUCGGCAUGCUCCAGGCCGAGAGUAGAUGAGCCAUGAGAAUCGGGUCACUUCUGAUUAGAAAGUAAAACUUCUGUGUGCUGUUUAAUUAGCUGAAAGACCUGAUUCAUUGCUGUUGGAAGGCUGCCUUCUUUGUUCACAAGACUAUAGAAAGAUCGCUUGUAUGCAACAAAGGACUUUUUUUUUCUGCUGCUGCUUUGCUUGCUCUACUUCUUCUUUCUCACGCUGACCUGCGAGUGAGCUACUGCAACAUUUGGCGUAGAUGGCAGGAUCCAGCACCGAAAGGUAACAGAAAACGGACUGAUAUAAGCAGUGAAAUAAAGAAGAUCAUGUGUUGGGAGACCCUGCUGGGAAGAGGGGCAGCGUUAACACACCUAUUGGGUUCUACCCAGGUCACAUGGAAGGAUGGAGCAAGGACCACUCGUACACAAGGAACUUGGGGUCAGGAGCCCCUGAGCUUUCAGAGCACCCCUGUUUCCCAGGGAGGAUGGGUCAGGCAACCCUGGGACUGCCCACCUGUCACAGGCAAAGGUGAAUACUUGGUCCAGUAGAGAAAUCAAGAAGCCAGGGAUGAAGCCCCACCCGAGAGGGCCAGAAGAUGAAGGGGGAAGAGGGCAGGAGUGCUGGCAAACACGAACGGGACCCUCUCUGCUGCUGUGGGAUUGCGACACCAUAUUUAACAUGAAUAGUUGGAUGGGAAUACGCAAUAUCAGCUCUAUCUCAAUCACUUCAAGUAUAAUACUGGGACGUGUGGUGUAGAAAAUAUUUUGUCUCCAAGAUACAAUAAAGUCAAACCUUGGAAAUGACUAAAAUUACA